rnacentral:rRNA from 1 species
GACGAACGCUGGCGGCGUGCCUAAUACAUGCAAGUUGAGCGCUGAAGGUUGGUACUUGUACCGACUGGAUGAGCAGCGAACGGGUGAGUAACGCGUGGGGAAUCUGCCUUUGAGCGGGGGACAACAUUUGGAAACGAAUGCUAAUACCGCAUAAAAACUUUAAACACAAGUUUUAAGUUUGGAAGAUGCAAUUGCAUCACUCAAAGAUGAUCCCGCGUUGUAUUAGCUAGUUGGUGAGGUAAAGGCUCACCAAGGCGAUGAUACAUAGCCGACCUGAGAGGGUGAUCGGCCACAUUGGGACUGAGACACGGCCCAAACUCCUACGGGAGGCAGCAGUAGGGAAUCUUCGGCAAUGGACGAAAGUCUGACCGAGCAACGCCGCGUGAGUGAAGAAGGUUUUCGGAUCGUAAAACUCUGUUGGUAGAGAAGAACGUUGGUGAGAGUGGAAAGCUCAUCAAGUGACGGUAACUACCCAGAAAGGGACGGCUAACUACGUG